AUUGAACGCUGGCGGCAGGCCUAACACAUGCAAGUCGAACGAGUGGCGGAAGGGUGAGUAAUGUCUGGGAAACUGCCUGAUGGAGGGGGAUAACUACUGGAAACGGUAGCUAAUACCGCAUACCAUCGGAUGUGCCCAGAUGGGCUUAGCGAGUAGGGGGGGUAACGGCUCACCUAGGCGACGAUACCUAGCUGGUCUGAGAGGAUGACCAUCCACGCUGGAAGUGAGACACGGUACAGAUGCCUCCGGUAGGCGGCAUUGGGGAAUAUUGGACAAUGGGCGCAAGCUUGAUGCAGCCAUGCCGCGUGUAUUAAGAUGGCCUUCGGGUUGUAAAGUACUUCCAGCCGGGAGGCGUUACCCGCAGAAGAAGAACCCGCUAACACCGUGGUAGCAGCCGCGGUAAUUC
rnacentral:rRNA from 1 species